AACGUAGGAGACAACGUUAUCCGGAGUUACUGGCGUAAAGGGCGUGUAGGCGGUUUGUUAAGUCUGGCGUGAAAGCUCUCGGCUAAACCGGGAGAGGUCGUUGGAUACUGGCAAACUAGAGGACGGUAGAGGCGUGUGGAAUUCCGGGUGUAGUGGUGAAAUGCGUAGAGAUCGAGUGACGAAGACGUGGAGGCAAGCGGG
rnacentral:rRNA from 1 species